CUUACAAAGCCUCUUUUGAGAUUUCUUAUGUAAGAGUAAAAGAUGAAAAGCACACUAUUUAUAAACAGUUGUCUCAUUCUGCUAGAAUAAAAACAAUGGAAAGAAUAUCUGGAGGCAACAUAGGGGCAAAAUUAAAGUGCAGUCCUUGCUGGUCAAAUAAGUGGAAGAAAUAUAGAAAAUAUUGCCAAAGAUUUGGAAAACAUUACAACAAAUUACACUGGUGGGAAAUCUGCGACACAGUUUGAUAAAAGUACAGAUGCUUCUAACACGUCCUAGCUUACAGUGCUUGUUAGACUCUAUGUCAGUCAUAGAUUGAAAGAGCCACUUUUUAAUAAGCCAUGAAAGGAAAGAUGAACCAGAUAAGAUAUAAUCUCAAUAAUAAUGACUUACGGAAAAAAACCAGUGUUUGAUGUUCCACAUCAUCUAGUGGUUAGAAAAAAAGAAAAAAACAAAACAAAGAAAAAACAGUGUUUGAUGAAAAGUGAAACACAAAAACGCUGCCAAGAGUCGUCUGCUUUGAUUUGGAAGGGGAACAGAAAGGACUUCGCAGUAAGAAUAUUGAAUUUCCCAUAAAUAACCUAUUGUUAUAUGUUAUUAUUAUAUGUUAUAUUUUUUCCCAUAAAUAACCAUUGUUUCAUAGGCCAGGUGUUACAGCACAGAGAUCAAAGCCAGAGAUACUGAGCUUCUGGAUACCUGAACAUGUGGAGAUUCCUGGAGGUGGCGCACCCAGG
rnacentral:lncRNA from 10 species